rnacentral:misc_RNA from 1 species
UUGAUUACGUCCCUGCCCUUUGUACACACCGCCCGUCGCUGCCCGGGACUGAGUUGUUUCGAGAAAAGCGGAGACUGCUGCUCUGAGCUUCUUCGGAAGGUCGUUGCGGCGAGAACCGCGUUAAUCGAAACGGCUUGAACCGGGCAAAAGUCGUAACAAGGUUUCCGUAGGUGAACCUGCGGAAGGAUCAUUAUUGAGCAUAUCUUUUCAUAAAGAAAAUUCGAGCUGAAUCUUCGCUGUUCACGUUUCUAGGCGUCGCAUUCUCUCAAUUAACGGCUUUGAAUGGUUUCUGUAGGUGUCCGGAGCAGUUGUAUGAGCGUGACUGUGGUGAUGGACAUUUGAGUCAUUAGCGUUCGUCGCUUUGACUAGAAUUAAAGAGGUCUGCUUCGACUCGCCGUUUACAAAUAACUACAAUUAACAUUUGAUCACUUUGAGAGACACCUGCAAUAGGUGUGUUUUUUGAAAGAUUUAUCAAGUCUUAUCGGUGGAUCACUCGGUUCGUAGUUCGAUGAAAAACGGGGCAAAAACCGUUAUUUGGCGUGAAUUGCAGACAUAUUGAACGCUAAAAUUUUGAACGCAAAUGGCACUAUCAGGUUUAUAUCUGUUAGUAUGUUUGGUUGAGGGUCGAUAAAUUCGUUACUUGCAGUCUGCUGUGACUGUUCUUUCGAUUAGCUACUCGACCGGUCUUGGCCGGUUGGGUACCUUCUCGGUAUGGCUGAAUUAUCGAUAGUAGAAUUCGUGUUCGCACGAGCUAUCAUUGAAUUCUGUGCGUUUUGUGUGCUUUGGAGUGCGGCGCGUUUCUUGCCGACUGACUUGUACGGACGUAACGGUACGUAUAUGCUUCAAUUGGUCAGUUCUUCAAGUGUGCACUUUUCUCGUUUCAAACACGUCUCGUUUGUUGAGGAAACGCGCAAAAUUGUAAACUUUUCGUUUACGACCUCAACUCAAGCAAGAUUACCCGCUGAACUUAAGCAUAUCAGUAAGCGGAGGAAAAGAAACUAACUAGGAUUUCCUUAGUAACGGCGAGUGAAA